AGAUUUUUUUUUAAUACUUUCUUAAUUUUUU
rnacentral:tRNA from 1 species